rnacentral:lncRNA from 1 species
GGGGUUCAGCUGGACCAGUCUGUGAUACCUGCUGCUAUCAGGGGUGGUGCAAUGCUCACAGCACUCACACAGUACUGGCACUGAGGAAAGCAGGUGCAUUUUGAAGGAAUGAAGCGCUGGGAAAACCUCCAAAGGUCUGGAUUGAAGAGAAGAGAUGUAAUGCCCAUACAUGGGGGUAAAAAAGCAUGAGGGACUGAUUGGGAAUCAAGCAUUCAGCCUACAGCCAUUAAAGGGAAACAGUUGGUUUGCCUUUUUCUUAAAGCCAUCAAGUUUCAGCUACUAUUUUUCAUGCAGUCACCCCUCCUCUAAGGUGUGUUACAUGUGGCUGUAACAUGUUUGUAGCCAGAAUUUUCUCUGGAACCAGCACACACAGAGCAAGAUGACUUUUUGGUGGUUCUGCAGUGGGAUACAGCUGCAGAGUGCAUACAGCCAGGUAAUGUGAAGGAAACUUUUCACCCCUUUCAUAACAAAGCCUGAAAUUACAGGAUCCUAAUUCUUUUCAAACUUUAA